GCUGGGCAUGGUGGUGCAUGCCUGUAAUCCCAGCUACUCGGGAGGCUGAGGCAGGAGAAUCACUUGAAUCCGGGCAGCGGAGGUUGCAGUGAGCCUAGAUGGCACCACUGCACUCUAGCCUGGGUAACACAGCGAGACUCUGUCUCCA
rnacentral:SRP_RNA from 1 species